rnacentral:rRNA from 1 species
UACAGAGGUCCCGAGCGUUGUUCGGAUUCAUUGGGCGUAAAGGGUGCGUAGGCGGCGGGGCAAGUCUGAUGUGAAAUCCUGGGGCUCAACCCCAGAACUGCAUUGGAUACUGCUUUGCUAGAGUUCUGGAGAGGGAACUGGAAUUUACGGUGUAGCAGUGAAAUGCGUAGAGAUCGUAAGGAAGGCCAGUGGCGAAGGCGAGUUCCUGGACAGUGACUGACGCUGAGGCGCGAAGGCCAGGGGAGCAAACGGG